rnacentral:rRNA from 1 species
UUAAAAGAGGGGGGAAAAGCGAACGGGUGGGGUGUUCCUGCGCCGAGGAUGUCCGGGGCUAAAACUUACUACGGAUGGUAAAGGAGACAGGUAAUGAGGGGUAGGGGAGCGUCCCAUACGGGUUGAAGCAUGACCGUAAGGACAUGUGGACAGUAUGGGAGUGAGAAUGUUGGCAUGAGUAGCGAGAUGUGGGUGAGAAUCCCACAGGCCGUAAACCCAAGGUUUCCAGGGGAAGGUUCGUCCGCCCUGGGUUAGUCGGGACCUAAGCUGAGGCCGAAAGGCGUAGGUGAUGGACAACAGGUUGAUAUUCCUGUACUACCGAUAACCGUUUGAGAGAAGGGAUGACACAGUAGGAUAAGCUAAGCACACUGUUGGUUAUGUGUGCCCAAGCAUUGAGGCAGUCAAAGUAGGCAAAUCCGCUUUGAUAAUGCUGGGAUGUGAUGGGGAGCGAAAUUUAGUAGCGAA